ACUCAAAUGAAUUGACGGGGGCCCGCACAAGCGGAGGAACAUGUGGUUUAAUUCGAUGAUACGCGAGGAACCUUACCCGGGCUUGAAUUGCAUCUGAAUGUCGUGGAAACAUGGCAGCUAGCAAUAGCAGAUGUGAAGGUGCUGCAUGGUUGUCGUCAGCUCGUGCCGUGAGGUGUCGGCUUAAGUGCCAUAACGAGCGCAACCCUCAUCAUUAGUUACUAACAGGUCAAGCUGAGGACUCUAAUGAGACUGCCGGCGUAAGCUGUGAGGAAGGUGGGGAUGACGUCAAAUCAGCACGGCCCUUACGUCCGGGGCGACACACGUGUUACAAUGGGGGGGACAGCAGGCUGCGAAGCGGUGACGCCGAGCGAAUCCUCAAACCCUCUCUCAGUUCGGAUCGAAGUCUGCAACCCGACUUCGUGAAGCUGGAUUCGCUAGUAAUCGCGCAUCAGCCAUGGCGCGGUGAAUACGUUCCCGGGCCUUGUACACACCGCCCGU
rnacentral:rRNA from 1 species